rnacentral:rRNA from 1 species
GGAGGAUCCGAGCGUUAUCCGGAUUUAUUGGGUUUAAAGGGAGCGUAGAUGGAUGUUUAAGUCAGUUGUGAAUGUUUGCGGCUCAACCGUAAAACUGCAGUUGAUACUGGAUGUCUUGAGUGCAGUUGAGGCAGGCGGAAUUCGUGGUGUAGCGGUGAAAUGCUUAGAUAUCACGAAGAACUCCGAUUGCGAAGGCAGCCUGCUAANCUGCAACUGACAUUGAGGCUCGAAAGUGUGGGUAUCAAACAGGAUUAAAUACCCUGGUAGUCCACACANUAAACNAUGAAUACUCGCUGUUUGCNAUAUACUGCANGCGNCCAAGCGAAAGCNUUAANUNUUCCNCCUGGGGAGU